rnacentral:rRNA from 1 species
CGCGGGAUUGGCACGGGGGGACGGGGCGCAACAAGCGCGAAACCUCCUCAAUGGACUAACGUGCGAAGGGGGUACCUCUAGUGCUAUCUGAACAAGGUGGCUUUUCCUUGUGCUAAAAAGCCUUGGGAAUAAGAGGGGGGCAAGACUGCUGUCACCCGCCGCGGUAACACCACCCCCUCCAGAGGGGGGGAUGAUUAUUUGGCCUAAAGCGUCCGCAGACGGCCGGGGAACUUUCCCGCUAAAUCCAACGACUCAUGCGUGGGACUGCGCCAAAUACUGCUUGGCUACAGAGUGACCAGAGGUCAGCGGUAUUCUGACGGUAGGGGCAAAAUCCUUUGAUCCCCGGAGGACCACCACUGGCGAAGGCUGCUGACUACAACACGUCUGACGGUCAGGGACGAAAGCUGGUGUAGCGAACCAGAUUAUAUACCCGGCUAGUCCCAGCCGUAAACGAUGCAUGCUAGGUGUUGGGUUGGACACGAGCUACGUCAGUGCCGCAGGGGAAGCCGUUAAGCAUGCCGCCUGGGAAGUACGGUCGCAAGAUUGAAACUUAAAGGAAUUGGCGGGGGAGCACCACCAGGCGUGAAGCCUGCGGUUUAAUUGGAGUCAACGCCGGGAACCUUACCGGAAGCGACAGCAGAGUGAAGGCCAGAUGNAAGAUCUUGCCAGACGAGCUGAGAGGAGGUGCAUGGCCGUCGCCAGUUCGUGCCGUGAGGUGUUCUGUUAAGUGAGAUAACGAACGAGACCCGCGCCACAUGUUGCCAUCAGAAUCUAAAGGAUUACUGGGCAUUCUUGUGGGACCGCAGCCGAUAAGGCUGAGGAAGGGGCGGGCAACGUCAGGUCAGUAUGCCCGGAAUCUUACGGGCCACACGCGGGUUGCAAUGGUACAGCCAGAGGGCUGCAACCCCGAGAGGGGAAGCCAAUCCAUAAACUGUACCUCAGUUGGGAUUGAGGGCUGCAACCCGCCCUCAUGAACAUGGAAUGCGUAGUAACCGCCAGUCAUCAUAGGGCGGUGAAUACGUCCCUGCUCCUUGCACGAAUUCGCCGAAUCACUAGU